GCGCGCCCCGCCCUUGCCCAGAGUCUUCCCGGGAUUGGCUGCGGGCCUCGCGACCCUCCUGCUUCCCUCCCCGCCCCGCGCCGCCUCUCUGGUUUGUGCGCCCGUCGCAGGUCGCAGGCCUCUUUGUCAGCUGGAGUUGCGCGGGCUGACGCGCCACUAUGUAGCGGGUUUCGGGCGGGCCACGCGUGCGGGACAGGAACCCAACCCCAGCCGACCUUGAGCUCCAGGAGUUCGUCUCUUACGUCUGCGGAAGUGCAGCUGCCUCAGUUCUUAGCGCAGGUUGACAACUACAGGCACAAGCCAUUGAAGCUGGAAUGUCCUGUUGCUGGUAUUUCAAUUGACUUAAGCCAACUAUCCCUUCAGUUACAAUAGGAAAGUGCCUCUAAUAAGGCCAAAUAUGCGUACUAACUUGUAGCAACCACGUGUCCGUGCAGUGCCACAGGAGCUAGAGCAGUGACAAUGCUGGUGGCAACAGGGCAGUGUAGCAGGUGCUUCAUGUUCACCUUUUCAACCUUUUCAUUUAAUUGUCACAACUCGGAGGUGGAUUCUGUUAGGGACAGGCUGCCCCAGGACCACUCCGCCCCCGCUAACUCAAUGCAGCUGACCCUUACCCUGAAUACUCUGCAGCUGCAUUCCUGAACCGUUAUCUAGGCGCUAUAGCAAGGUCACCAGACUUGCUACACCGAAGCCCUCUGGGUGGCACGGGGGAGGUCAUGAGAAACGUGGAUUACACCCCCUUGUAAAUUCCUAUUUUCACAAGAUAAUAUAUUGUAAGCCGGUCAUGAGAUUAUAUGUGGUAAAGUUAAUUGACUAACAACCCCAGGGUCUCUCUCCCCCAUAUAAACCCCUCAUUUUGUAAGCUCAGGGCUG
rnacentral:lncRNA from 1 species